rnacentral:tRNA from 1 species
GCUUCUGUAGUGUAGACCGGCCAAGCUUGUUUAAAAUUAAACAAGGUCUAAGCAUACGGGGCUUUCACCCCCGCGACCCGGGUUCGAAUCCCGGCAGAAGCA